rnacentral:rRNA from 1 species
AUUGAACGCUGGCGGCAGGCCUAACACAUGCAAGUCGAGCGGAUGAGAGGAGCUUGCUUCUUGAUUCAGCGGCGGACGGGUGAGUAAUGCCUAGGAAUCUGCCUGGUAGUGGGGGACAACAUUUCGAAAGGAACGCUAAUACCGCAUACGUCCUACGGGAGAAAGCAGGGGACCUUCGGGCCUCGCGCUAUCAGAUGAGCCUAGGUCGGAUUAGCUAGUUGGUGAGGUAAUGGCUCACCAAGGCGACGAUCCGUAACUGGUCUGAGAGGAUGAUCAGUCACACUGGAACUGAGACACGGUCCAGACUCCUACGGGAGGCAGCAGUGGGGAAUAUUGGACAAUGGGCGAAAGCCUGAUCCAGCCAUGCCGCGUGUGUGAAGAAGGUCUUCGGAUUGUAAAGCACUUUAAGUUGGGAGGAAGGGUUGUACGUUAAUACCGUGCAAUUUUGACGUUACCGACAGAAUAAGCACCGGCUAACUCUGUGCCAGCAGCCGCCGUAAUAC